AACGAACGCUGGCGGCAGGCUUAACACAUGCAAGUCGAGCGCCCCGCAAGGGGAGCGGCAGACGGGUGAGUAACGCGUGGGAAUCUACCGUACCCUACGGAAUAGCUCCGGGAAACUGGAAUUAAUACCGUAUACGCCCUACGGGGGAAAGAUUUAUCGGGGUAUGAUGAGCCCGCGUUGGAUUAGCUAGUUGGUGGGGUAAAGGCCUACCAAGGCGACGAUCCAUAGCUGGUCUGAGAGGAUGAUCAGCCACAUUGGGACUGAGACACGGCCCAAACUCCUAAGGGAGGCAGCAGUGGGGAAUAUUGGACAAAGGGCGCAAGCCUGAUCCAGCCAUGCCGCGUGAGUGAUGAAGGUCUUAGGAUUGUAAAGCUCUUUCACCGAUGAAGAUAAUGACGGUAGUCGGAGAAGAAGCCCCGGCUAACUUCGUGCCAGCCGCCGCAGUAAGAC
rnacentral:rRNA from 1 species